UACGUAGGGUGCAAGCGUUAAUCGGAAUUACUGGGCGUAAAGAGCGCGCAGGCGGUCGUUCAAGUCGGAUGUGAAAGCCCCCGGCUCAACUGGGGAGGGUCAUUCGAUACUGAUCGACUCGAAGGCAGGAGAGGGAAGCGGAAUUCCCGGUGUAGUGGUGAAAUGCGUAGAUAUCGGGAGGAACACCAGUGGCGAAGGCGGCUUCCUGGCCUGUUCUUGACGCUGAGGCGCGAAAGCUAGGGGAGCAAACGGG
rnacentral:rRNA from 1 species